AAUGGAAUGCCUGAGUAAAGGAUUAUCGUGAUAGGGUAAAUAAUGUAAAAAAAAAUUACUUCCAUUA
rnacentral:tRNA from 1 species